UGGUGAGGUAAGGGCCUACCAAGGCUACGAUCCAUAGCUGAUUUGAGAGGAUGAUCAGCCACAUUGGGACUGAGACACGGCCCAAACUCCUACGGGAGGCAGCAGUGAGGAAUAUUGGACAAUGGGGGCAACCCUGAUCCAGCAAUGCCAUGUGUGUGAAGAAGGCCUUAGGGUUGUAAAGCACUUUAGUUGGGGAAGAAAGCUUUGAGGUUAAUAGCCUUGAGGAAAAGGACGUUACCCAAAGAAUAAGCACCGGCUAACUCCGUGCCAGCAGCCGCGGUAAUACGGGGGGUGCAAGCGUUAAUCGGAAUUACUGGGCGUAAAGGGUCUGUAGGUGGUUUGUUAAGUCAGAUGUGAAAGCCUAGGGCUCAACCUUGGAACUGCAUUUGAUACUGGUAAACUAGAGUACGGUAGAGGAAUGGGGAAUUUCUGGUGUAGCGGUGAAAUGCGUAGAGAUCAGAAGGAACACCAAUGGCGAAGGCAACAUUCUGGACCGAUACUGACACUGAGGGACGAAAGCGUGGGGAUCAAACAGGAUUAGAUACCCUGGUAGUCCACGCUGUAAACGAUGAGUACUAGCUGUUGGAGUCGGUGUAAAGGCUCUAGUGGCGCAGCUAACGCGAUAAGUACUCCGCCUGGGGACUACGGCCGCAAGGCUAAAACUCAAAGGAAUUGACGGGGACCCGCACAAGCGGUGGAGCAUGUGGUUUAAUUCGAUGCAACGC
rnacentral:rRNA from 1 species